CACUCCGUUACAGUCAGAGGAAAUUGUAGCUGAGCUGGUUUACACUUUCUUGAUCCCUGAGGUACAGAAGACACAAGCACGUGAAAGAGUUCGGAAGUGUCAGCGCAGACACAUUGAAGCUGCCCACCGCAUCAUUCACGGGGACACAGAGAACCUUUUAAAUGGAAUGAUGGGUUCGGAUGGUCUUUCAGUCCAGGAGACAGAUGUCGAGAAUGAUAUAACACAGAAGAUGAAGUGAUGGAGGCAGUGUCAGAAUCACCAUGUACGCGAUUUACUCCAGGACGCAGCGACGAAAAAUGUCCAGAUCCAUCCGUUAGAAACAUAACAAGCGUGAUACUGUAAUAAAAUCUAUAUUUCUCUAAA